UUUUUUUUUUUGUGAAUUUUGGAAUCAAUAUCUUAAAGAAAACUUUUAAAAAGGUACUAAAAGAAAAUUCUCUUUUUUUGUUUGAAUUUUUAGUCUUAAUAUACUAAAGGAAAUAUAAAAGCAAUUAUUUUUUAAUUUUGAGUUCUAGAUAUUAAUAUUCUAAAGAAAACUUCUAACGGAAAUAUAAAACGCAAAAUCUCUUCUUCUUUUUUAGGAUUUUUGAGUUAUAACAACUUUUUCAAAUACAAAAUAGAAAGUUCAACAACAAAAAACUCGACAUUACAAAACUAGAAGGUAAAAGACGACAUAAAAAAGAACAACAGACUCAAAACAUAAUAACUAAAAAAUCUCCUUAUACAAACUCAUGAAUGAUCGACCCUGGCUGGAUGGUCUUAGAGCGCCUGUCCUGCCCAAACUCCGGUAAGUAGACCCACACCUGUAUGAGAAAUUAAGACCAAAUAAGUUAAAGACCUAGAACGCUAUGUGAGACAAUAACCCUUCCUGCUGGACACAUGCAAGACAUGAUUGUGACUAUUUUUCUAAAAUUAACCUAUGUGGGUAAAAGUGGCUAAAAAUGCAAGAUUUGGCAAAGACCCCGCGAAGCCAAGAACCUAAGACUCACUAGGAAGACCGGACCCUAUGUGGGUUGCCUACGUAUCACGCCCCGAAAGACGAGAAUCAGGUAUGCGUAGUUCGGGCAAAUUGGAUACGAGCGAGAAUUAAAAAAAUAACUAAUUUAGAGAAAAUAUAUUUUUUUAUCUUUUUUUUUUUAAAAAUGAUGAAACAUGUAAACUCUUUUUGAAUUUUCUUUUUCCUUUUUGUAUUUUACUGUACCAACUAUCAUUGGUCCGCCAAAUGACCCUUUUACCCUUGAAAAAAUGCAACAUGUAGCACAUAGGAUGCAUUAAGAUGACCUGUUAUUUUGGGUACACCUGUCCUAGACGGACCCAAUCCCUGUGUUGAGUUCCCAAAGUCAAAUGCACCUGAUGCAAACAAACGUUCCUACUAGGGAUCCGGUAUGAAGUUAUGUUGUUCUAUGUUUAAAACUUGGGGUUGUGUUCUUGAUCUGGCUUAUCCGAGCGGACAACUCGAGUCGAAGAGAGGUAACGUACCGGGAGCACUAAAGACUACUCGACCUUGUUGUUGGCCCAGCCUCGUUCUAUUUGGUAUAACUUCUACAGAAAAAGCGGGUCACGCGAACGUGUGCACCAUUUUUAGAAGACUCAAAGGGGUGGCGUAAGAAAAAAGUUUAAUAUAACUCGAAUAAUAUCAAAGUGGUAAAUAAACAGCAAUUAUCACAUUAGGUCCACAAAAUACAGUAAUAUCAACAAUAAAUAAAGCCAAAUAAAAUCAUAUUUAAAAGCUCGAAUUCUUAAACCCUGAACCAGAAGUUUCAGGGUUAAAAUCCCCAGCAGAGUCGCCAGAGCUAUCACACCUCCUUUUUACUACCCCCAGAAGGGGUAUAAGGGAGUUUUUUCCAAUUUAAGUGACAAUCGAAACGGGAUUAUUUAUAUCAAAUUCAGAGUCGCAACUUGGGAUAGUUUAUGGUGUCCCAAGUCACCGCUUUAAAAUCUCGAAUCUAGGAAGUUUGACACUUAUUUAUGGCCUGCGAACACAGAAAUCUAGGUAAGAAAUUCUGUUAACCCGAGAGAAGAUGUUAGGCAUUUCCGAGUUCCGUGAUUCUAGCACGGUCGCUUUGAUCAUACUUGGCUUGUUAAAUUGUCUAAUUACUCAUUUUAGAACCUAUGUGCAUCUGCCUCUUUUAAUUAAGAAAUUAUCUUAAAACAGGUCACGUGCACGUGUACCCAUUUGAUUGGUGCGUCAAAAUCAUGUCACGCGUACGUGUCCACAAUUCCUAAUGCUUUAUUAUUAUUCAGAAAUUUUUGAUCAAAGUUGCGCGAACGCAUACUCCGAUUUUGUUUUUAGGAUCAUAAUUAUGUCACGCGAACGUGUACACAACCAUUGGUUGUAUUAAAUCGCGCCUAAAGCAUUUUCUACGAAUAUUCAUGUUUUAAAACGCCUAUCUAUUUAGCCUAAUUUGAGGUAGUAUCAUUCUUUGUGAAGAUGCACCAACAUGUUACAGUCGUCUCAUAUUUACCACUUUCUUUCUAUGGGGUGAAGCAAUAUAAAUUGAAAAGACGAAGGCAGUGCAGUUGGGCACUGCAGCAAAGUAUCUGUAACGUUUACAUGUUCUGGUAAUAAUGACAACUUCGAUUUAAGCAAGUCAUUUGGAAAUUGGAACCAAAAACAUAAUAAUGACCAAAUUGAACAUUUACACUUCAAAUGAAAACUUCUGAAAAGUAGUCAUACUUAAAUAUGUUACGAAAUCAUACUAUAUUUGUUCCUCAGUCACUUUACACAAACAAAAGCUAUACAUUCCUGGACGAAAGCUGUCAAGUGAUGUACUCAGUCGCUUGGAUUUAACACGUAAUUCAUGAACGAGAAAACAAUAUUUGCCAUCCGCAAAAACAACAGAAUCAAGCACAAAACCACAAGUGUGCUGGCAGAGAAAUCAAACACAAAAGAAUAACAACAGAAUAUGAAACUAGUUCAGAGCAAAGGAAAUCAAAUUCAAAGAAACAAACACCUGAAUAUUAACUUACAAACACACUAUAACAAUUAUUAAUAAGCCACAAUCCAAAACAGAGGAACAAAACGGAGGAAGAGAACAUUAACCCAUACGAUCAACGAAAAAACAGAGCACGGAGAUUAAUAACACAAUAGAAGCAUGGUAUCAAGCAAGAACAAUAGAAGAAAGUAAGAAAUAGACCUCAAUCCUAUGAAGUCUGGACGUAACUCGAAACGGCACAGGAAAUUCGAAACCAAAUACAACCCCAAACAAACUCCAUAGUUUGACAACGAAGUUCGGAAUUUAAAGAGAAGAAUCAGAACAUUUUCCUUUGAAUUUAAUCAUGACCUAACUCACAAAAAACAAAAACAUUUUUCUUGCAUUGAUUCUAUCCAAAGCUCCUCCCCCAAUUUCUGUCACAAUUCUAUCCGUGUUCUCUACUAUCCGUAGAUGCGACUGGUACCACAAAAUGCGACAGAAUAAGCAGCAACAAAAUCGGUCCAAGAAACCGCGAACUUCGACCUCGAACAGUCACCACCGAACCAACGAAGCAGCAAUAAAACUCAAACAAACUCCAUGACCGGAACUGAAUCAAUUUCCAUUAAAAUCAGAAGAAGCAAAACUUUGAAAUUUUAAUUGACUCCAUAACAAAGCUGAAGAUCGAAAUCAUCAUAACGAAACUGAAGCAACUGUGUAUCUCUGUGUGCUUUUGUGUGUGUGUGUGUGUUUCUUAUAAAGGUCCUUGAAGGGUCGCUGGGUUUAGCUCAGAAACGGCUCUGAUUUUUGGGUCUCUGGUCGUUUGGGAUGGUGUGAAGUUACGGGGGUGGUCGUUGGGUGGUGCGAACGGUGGUUUUCUGGUGGUGUGAUGAAGGAGGAAAAGGGGUCGUUGGUUGCUCUUUGUUGAAGAAACGAUGACGGGGGGUCAAGGAUGAAACGACGGAUUUUAUCCUUACGGGUCUAGGAAAUUAGGCUUCUUUUUUGUUAUAUAAAAAGGGGUUUUAGGUUAAAUGGGUAUGAGUUUGGUAUUAUUAGGCCUUAAAAUGGGG
rnacentral:lncRNA from 1 species